AACGAACGCUGGCGGCAUGCCUAACACAUGCAAGUCGAACGAGACCUUCGGGUCUAGUGGCGCACGGGUGCGUAACGCGUGGGAAUCUACCCUUGGGUUCGGAAUAACAGUUAGAAAUGACUGCUAAUACCGGAUGAUGACGUAAGUCCAAAGAUUUAUCGCCCAAGGAUGAGCCCGCGUAAGAUUAGCUUGUUGGUGGGGUAAUGGCCUACCAAGGCGACGAUCUUUAGCUGGUCUGAGAGGAUGAUCAGCCACACUGGGACUGAGACACGGCCCAGACUCCUACGGGAGGCAGGAGUGGGGAAUAUUGGACAAUGGGCGAAAGCCUGAUCCAGCAAUGCAGCGUGAGUGAUGAAGGCCUUAGGGUUGUAAAGCUCUUUUACCAGGGAGGAUAAUGACAGUACCUGGAGAAUAAGCUCCGGCUAACUCCGUGCCAGCCGCCGCGGUAA
rnacentral:rRNA from 1 species